GACGAACGCUGGCGGCAUGCCUAACACAUGCAAGUCGAACGAAACGUCCGGGUCUUGUGGCGCACGGCUGGGUACGUCGUGGGUACCUACCCUUAGGUUCAGAAUAACUUCCCGAAAGGGAUGCUAAUAUCAUAUCAUGUCUUCUGUCCAAAGUAUUUUCGCUUUUUGUUGGGCCUUCGUUGGAUUAGCUAGUUGGUAGGGUAAAAGCAUACUAAGGCGAAGUUCCAUAGCUGGUAUGCGAGGAUGAUCAGCGACACUGGGACUGAGACACGGCCCAGACGCGUACGGGAGGCAGGAGUGGGGAAUAUGGGACAAUGGGGGAAAGUGUGAGACAGCAGUGCCGGGGAAGUGAUGAAGGUCUUGGGGUUGUAAAGUUAUUUUAACCGGGAUGAUAAUGACAGUACCGGGAGAAUAAGCACCGGCUAACUCCGUG
rnacentral:rRNA from 1 species